UUAAAAAAGAUAAGCU
rnacentral:tRNA from 1 species